UUGGAUAAACAGAUUAGGGCAUCAGAGUUUUUCAAUCUCUGACCCUUCUUGACCUGUAGGGGUAAAAUAAAGUUACUUGUCCCUUGUGGAAUGGUUGUGUCAUCAGGUACAUGGAUACUUACUGCAUAUGGUAAUAUUUGUCCUAAUUUCAGGGCGUUCUCAUGUUGGUAUCCACAAGGAUUACCUUUUAACCUUGUCCACAAGUUGGAGUUAAUUAGGUCAAGGUGUAUGGCAAAGCGAUGUAUGACAUCAUUGCUAAUGUAAACCUGAUAGCGAGGUUCGUCUAUCACUAGGAAUAAAUGUUUAGCCGUCUUAUUUCCGAUGGAAAUGGAUAAUAGACAUUUUGCUAUCACAUUGUGAUUCUCUGAUUCGCCAUCAAUGUUCUGGAUCCACCUGUCGUGGGGAAGCGUACCUGAUCAUUUUAGGAUUAGUGAUCUGCUUUAACAGACUUCUGCUAAUAUAGUUAUUCUCACUCUUUAAGUCCAG